AUUUAAGUAGUUUAAUAAAAAUAAAGAUUUGUGGAAUCUUAGAUUCUUUAAUAAGGCUUAAGUU
rnacentral:tRNA from 1 species